UGCCCUAGUAACGGCGAGUGAAGCGGCAACAGCUCAAAUUUGAAAUCUGGCGUCUUUGGCGUCCGAGUUGUAAUUUGCAGAGGGCGCUUUGGCAUUGGCAGCGGUCCAAGUUCCUUGGAACAGGACGUCACAGAGGGUGAGAAUCCCGUACGUGGUCGCUAGCCUUUACCGUGUAAAGCCCCUUCGACGAGUCGAGUUGUUUGGGAAUGCAGCUCUAAAUGGGAGGUAAAUUUCUUCUAAAGCUAAAUACUGGCCAGAGACCGAUAGCGCACAAGUAGAGUGAUCGAAAGAUGAAAAGCACUUUGGAAAGAGAGUUAAAAAGCACGUGAAAUUGUUGAAAGGGAAGCGCUUGCAGCCAGACUUGCCUGUAGUUGCUCAUCCGGGUUUUUACCCGGUGCACUCUUCUACGGGCAGGCCAGCAUCAGUUUGGGCGGUUGGAUAAAGGUCUCUGUCAUGUACCUCCUCUCGGGGAGAUCUUAUAGGGGAGACGACAUGCAACCAGCCUGGACUGAGGUCCGCGCAUCUGCUAGGAUGCUGGCGUAAUGGCUGUAAGCGGCCCGUCUUGAAACACGGACCAAGGAGUCUAACAUCUAUGCGAGUGUUUGGGUGUCAAGCCCGAACGCGUAAUGAAAGUGAACGGAGGUGGGAACCUUUCGGGGUGCACCAUCGACCGAUCCUGAUGUCUUCGGAUGGAUUUGAGUAAGAGCAUAGCUGUUGGGACCCGAAAGAUGGUGAACUAUGCUUGAAUAGGGUGAAGCCAGAGGAAACUCUGGUGGAGGCUCGCAGCGGUUCUGACGUGCAAAUCGAUCGUCAAAUUUGGGCAUAGGGGCGAAAGAC
rnacentral:rRNA from 1 species